UACGUAUGGAGCAAGCGUUAUCCGGAUUUACUGGGUGUAAAGGGAGCGUAGACGGUGCGGCAAGUCUGAUGUGAAAGGUGCGGGCUCAACCCACAAACUGCAUUGGAAACUGUCGAACUAGAGUGUCGGAGAGGUAAGUGGAAUUCCUAGUGUAGCGGUGAAAUGCGUAGAUAUUAGGAGGAACACCAGCGGCGAAGGCGGCUUACUGGACGAUAACUGACGUUGAGGCUCGAAAGCGUGGGGAGCAAAC
rnacentral:rRNA from 1 species